AAAUCAGGUGAUGAAAUUGGAUUAAAUUCUCACGACGGUCGUCUGAGACACAUCGUGUCAAUAAUGAUGCAUUUAUCCAAUGUUUCUGAUGGUU